rnacentral:rRNA from 1 species
UACGUAGGGGGCAAGCGUUAUCCGGAAUUAUUGGGCGUAAAGCGCGCGUAGGCGGUUUUUUAAGUUUGAUGUGAAAGCCCGCGGCUCAACUGUGGAGUGUCAUUUGAGACUGGAAAGCUUGAGUGCAGGAGAGGAAAGUGGAAUUCCGUGUGUAGCGGUGAAAUGCGUAGAGAUAUGGAGGAACACCAGUGGCGAAGGCGACUUUCUGGACUGUAAUUGACGCUGAUGUGCGAAAGCGUGGGGAUCAAACAGG